GGCAUCCAGUACAAGGCCACGCACUACCUUCACGGAGUGCCAGGCACUUGUAGGGCACGACGGUGCCAUGGAAGUACCUUCACUUCCGUUUCCUCCAACCGAAUGGAUCAGCCUCAGCUUCACGACGUGGGCAAUGGACAUGAUCCUGGCCUUCGCCUGUGGACUGGGCCUCUUCCACCUGUGGAUACAUUUCUUCCCACUCACCUCACCCUCACCUGCAGAGGGCGCCUCCACCACCACCAAAAGGCUGAGCUCAUGUGAAGAGGGUGAUGCACUCCUGGACAUAGGAUCAGGACUUGAGUCACAUCUCACCUCAGGAAAUGACAAGGCAGUUCGGAGCUGAGCUUCAGCUUACUGAGGUGAAAGAACACUGACCAAUGACAUCCGUGGUGGGUCUCACGGAGACCGUCCACACUUGGGAUUUUCAAGGGAAAAGAAUACAGACUUACCCCUCAUCACAGGGGUGUGAAUGGGGC
rnacentral:lncRNA from 1 species